CACAUUUUUUUUUUUUUGAUAGGACACCAAAGCACAAGCAAAGAAAGUAAAAUUAAAUGGUAACCUACAGAAUGGAAGAAAUUUUUCAUAAAGUGUCCAUCUGAUAAGGAGUUGACAUCCAGAGGUAUCAAUGGCAAAAACCCCAAAGACAAAGGACCAGCAGAAUCUGAUACAAAUUCUUGACACAAUGGAGGUGAUGAAUAAAUAUACUUGCCUGAGUGAUCUGACAGUCUCUGCAGAGCAGUCCCAGAAAGCAGCAUAAAAAGAUUCCUAAACUCACCUCCUCCUGUGGACAGCAAUAUAAAGCAUAUUUUUCCUGAGGAGGAACUGAAGGCUGAUUAAACAGCUUCUGCACAACAAAUGAUAGCAGAAUCACAUAGAGAAGAGAUGAAGCCAUAGUAACUACAAAACACCUAUGCUAGACACAGUGACAUACAGAAGGGAAGAGUAUCAUCAAGGAGUCUGUGCACAGAUUUGCCCACCCUAAGGCACAGUAAAAACAACAACAAUGGUUUAAAGGACAACUGGACUGUGAAAGUUUUGAGAAGAUGGUGGAAUAGGAGAAUCCUGAGCUCGGGUCCUCUCAUAGAAGUAUCAAGAUAAGAGCUACAUCUGUGAGACUAACUCUGAAACGACCUCAAGACUGGCAGAACAGACCUUCCAUAGCCAACUGUAGAUAGAAGGCCACCUCAAAACGGGUAAGAGGGGCGGAGACAGAGUUGGGAACCAUAACCCUGGGUAGGACUAACCUCAAACAGAAGGGACAUUACAAGCUCAGAAGAGGGAGAAAAUCAGACUCCUAUCAGACACUGGGGACCUGCACUGGAAGGACCAGUUUCUAUAACAUUUGGCUUUGAAAACCAGCACAGUUAAAACUCUAGGAGAGCUGGAGGGUGAUAUGAAAAUGAGCUCCUGCACAUGAAAAUCCAGCAACUAAAUAACUCAGCCUGAGACACAGCACAGGAAGAGGAGUUUGAAAGAUCCUGGGCUAUACAUGAAUGAGAUUCAUUGAAUAAUCUUAGAACAUGUGUUGGAGUGGCAAGGAUCCCCAAGAGAUUCCUCUGGGAACAAAAAUGCAAGGUGGAGCCAUUUCUCUUCCCCUUCCCCAGCCUAGAGAGCCAGAUACUUGUGGGAGCCAAUGGGAAUACUCUCCACCUACCUUGCUAGCACCACAGGACCCACCCUGGCAUUCUCUGUGGCCCAGGCUAUCUAACCUGCCUGCCUGCAUAGGCAUGCAUCCAAAGUGGCUCCUGCCCCAUAACACCUUGCAAUCAGCCUAGGCUUGGACCACUGCCACUCCAAAAUGACUCCUGCCCUGGGGAAAGGGGCAGAUAAGUCCAUACAUCAGUAUACCCACAGUUCCUAGAGCCUGGCCUCUUAGCUGGCUUAUGCAGGGAGCAAGCUCUGCCCUUGGGUACACUUGCCAUAGUGACAGAAAGGCUAACUACAGACUGAGCCCACCAAAGAGCUUGUGGCUGUUACAGGCCUCUCAACAGUGUGGGGAGCAAACUCUGCCCAGUGUACCCAAGAAAAGAAAUGGGUCAUUGCAGCCAGCUGGGCUCGAUGCAACAGGGGCUUUACCACAACAGGAAGGCUCACAAGGGACACUUCUGGUGUGCCUGGUUCUAGUGACUAGGGAGAUUUCACUAUAGGGCACCACAAGGUCUUUUCUUUCAAGACCAGGAGAUGUAGCUGGCCUACAUAAUACAUCCCACAUGAAAGAACAAGACAAAAAUCACACUAACAGGGCUAAAUGAAAUGGAAGCAAGCAGUAUGCCUCAUAAGGAAUUCAAAAUUCUUUAGAUCAUAAAGAUACUCAACCACACCUGAAAGAAAAAAAGGAUGAACUCAGUAUGAAUUUUAACAGAGAUACAAAACAUAAAAAGGAGCCAGUUAGAGCUAAAGAAUUCAAUAACUAAAAUUGAAAAAAAAUGCACUAGAGGGAAUCAAUAGCAGAUUACAGGAUACAGAAAAACAGAUCAGCAAUCUGCAAGGCAGGGUAAUAAAAAGCAACCAAACUGAACAGUAAUAAUAACAACAAUAAAAAAAUAGCUUCAGUGACCCUGUGGUAUUAAGCAUAACAUUUGCAUUAUAGGGAUCCCAGAAAAAGCAGGGGCAGAAAACUUUCCUAAGCUUGGGAAGAGAACACAUCAGGUCCAGGAUGGAUACACAGAAAGCCCCUGACAAAAUCAAUCCAAGGACAGCUAUACCUGGACACACAAUAAUGAAAAUGGCGAAAAGUAAUGAUAAAGAUUUUUUAAAGCAGUGAAAGAAAGACUACAGUGACAUAAAGGAAAACUCAUAAUGCUAUCAGAUAUUUUUUCAGCAGAAACUUUACAGGGCAAAAGGGAGUGGCAUGAUAUAUUCAUACUUCUGACAGGAAAAAACCUACGAUCAAGAAAAAUUCUACCAAGCAUUCUAUUCAGAAUAGAGGAGAGAGAAAGAGUUUCCCAGACAAGCAAAAAUUAAAACUUGUCAUUACUAAAACGGUCUUACAAGAAAUGUUAAAGAGAUUCAAAUGGAAAAAAAAUCCA